AUACGGAGGAUCCGAGCGUUAUCCGGAUUUAUUGGGUUUAAAGGGAGCGUAGGUGGACAGUUAAGUCAGUUGUGAAAGUUUGCGGCUCAACCGUAAAAUUGCAGUUGAUACUGGCUGUCUUGAGUACAGUAGAGGUGGGCGGAAAUCGUGGUGUAGCGGUGAAAUGCUUAGAUAUCACGAAGAACUCCGAUUGCGAAGGCAGCUCACUGGACUGCAACUGACACUGAUGCUCGAAAGUGUGGGUAUCAAACAGGAUUAGAUACCCUGGUAGUCCACACAGUAAACGAUGAAUACUCGCUGUUUGCGAUAUACAGUAAGCGGCCAAGCGAAAGCAUUAAGUAUUCCACCUGGGGAGUACGCCGGCAACGGUGAAACUCAAAUGAAUUGACGG
rnacentral:rRNA from 1 species